rnacentral:rRNA from 1 species
CGUUAGCGGCGGACGGGUGAGUAACACGUGGGUAACCUACCUAUAAGACUGGGACAACUUCGGGAAACCGGAGCUAAUACCGGAUAAGAUAUCGAACCGCAUGGUUCGAUAGUGAAAGAUGGUUUUGCUAUCACUUAUAGAUGGACCCACGCCGUAUUAGCUAGUUGGUGAGGUAACGGCUCACCAAGGCAACGAUACGUAGCCGACCUGAGAGGGUGAUCGGCCACACUGGAACUGAGACACGGUCCAGACUCCUACGGGAGGCAGCAGAA